CAGAACUUUGGCUCAUGCUACAAAUAUGGCCAAUAACUCUUCCACGUAUGGCGCAUGAUUCCCCUGACUGCAAGGAGGUGCCAAUUAACGACUUUUCAUCUUCUGUUCAGAUUGCCAUUGCAUUCCCAGACAUGGGUGCUAAGAGUCUAACUUUGGAUCUCUGACAAGUGCCCUAUAAAGGAAGCUGAGAAGGGCCUAUUAUUGCUAUUUUACAAGCGAGAAAAUUGAGGGCCAAAAAAGACGGCAUCAGAGAAGGGGAAGGAAGUGGCCUCCAGACCUCCUAGCAAUGAGACUCCAGGGCUCUUGCUACUUCAAGGAAAAUUGAUGAGAUUCCACCCCCAAAGUGUGGUAAGGGGGUGAAGCUCUGUCUCCUGUGCUGACUGGUCAGCCAACUUUGUGAUGGCUGGAAGCCCUGCAUCCUACCAUCUGUUAGGUUAAAUGUCAGCUCCCCAAGGAAGCCUUCUCCAACUGCUGGCAGACGCCAAGCUCCCUGCUUUACUUCACUUGUUGCUCUCUGCCUUUAUAACAUUGAACACAGCUGUCCGUGAUUAAAUAUUUAUUUGUGUAAUAUUUAGUCAAUUCCUCCCCUUCUCUCCUCAAACAUAUCUGUUCUCCAUGUCUGGCAGAGAAGAGAUAUUCAAUAAUUAUUUGCUUAAUGAAUUAAUGGCCUUUUGGUGUAUGUCCUGGGGUCAGUAUUUCUCAGCUUCAAUCCCUCGUAACUUCCUCAUCCACAACUACUGACAAUUCGAGUAUCUGUGCCAAAUCCAAAUUGUCUAAUUUAGUUAUAUUCAGCAUACUCCUAAUGGAGCCCAGAUGGAAAGUGGGCUCUUUCAAGUUCAAAGAAUUCUGAUCAUAAGGGUUGAAGUAUCAGGGUUUCUCAGAUAAACAAAAGUCCAAAGAACUAAAGCAUCCCAUUCUCCAAGUAAUUUGGUUUUCAAUGUCAUUAAGCAGACACUAUUCCCUCUGAUCAAUACCAUAAUAUCUCAGCCUCAGUUGACAAAUCAGCGUUAGGUUGCUGUCAGAUUCCACUAAGAACUAUGUGCACCUUCACUUGUCUAAGGUGCCACUGGGUCCAUCCAUCCAUCAUAAGGAAUCUUUGCCAUUUAAGGAGUGAUGUCGAGGCCGAGGCGGGUGGAUCACCUGAGGUCAGGAGUUCGAGGCCGGUCUAGCCAACAUGGUGAAACCCCGUCUCUACUAAAAAUAGAAAACAUUAGCCGGGCGUGGUGGUGCGCCUGUAAUCUCAGCUACUCUGGAGGCUGAGGUAGGAG
rnacentral:lncRNA from 1 species